CAUUCUCUUUUAAUGAAGACCACUGUACAAGUUGAAAUAACUAGGAUAAAGUGUGUGUGUGUGUGUGUGUGUGUGUGUGUGUGUGUGACAGUUCUGUCUUUAAUAUUGUUUGGAACAAGUGGCCAUUAGCCUGAUCUGUCUUUUUGUUACAUAACAAAGUUUGACUAAUUUUACACCUUUAUAAAUUUUAUGCUGUCACUAUUUUUAUUUAAAUUAUAAUUCUAUUUUCCUGGUUAUAUGUCUCAUAUAUUUCCAUUACUUUCAAAAAGCAGAGAUGGAAUAUGCUAUUAACAAUAAAAGGUUUUAAUUUGUAGUGCUGUUGUUUUGGAAGUUUCAAGUAUUUCAUUAGGAAAUAAAUACCUAAAAUACUUUUUUAUGUAUGCCAAUUUUUAUAUACACAUUACUUCAGGUUGUGAGAUCAAGUUGCAUUUCUGGAUAGACCAAUGAAUUUAUCAGUCAUGAAGAAGAUUGGCAUAUUGGCUUUAAAAUUUUUUUCAAGCCUGGAUGAUUUUUGUAGUGUAACAUUUUCUAAGGAUUGUAGGGAAACAUCUCACCUUCAGCAAGGCAUAAGAAAAUAGUAACAUUACAUUUGAAGAAAUCUCUUUAAAAAGCAGAAGCAGACUUUUCGUUCAUUAAUGAAAAUAAAAAGUUGAUAUGUGGUUACUUUUUAAAAUUUGAAUAGAAUUUACUCAGAUCGAAAAAAUUUGGAUACGCUGUAUCACCUACAUUUAUGGUUUAUAACCCUGAGUUUUCUUUCAGACUGUUAACUAUACAGAUAAUAAAAUUAAUGUUUUAACAAACUUAGCCUUUUGGGCUUUCUGAAUCCUGUGAUGUCAAUUUUCUUUCCUUCAGACACUGAAAACCACCUAUUGCCAAAAAUGCAUAAAUUAGAAUGACAGAUUGACAGGUUGAUGAAUGCAGCAAUGACAAAGUUACUUUUUACAGAUACCAUAUUAUCACUUCAUACAAAGACAACAAUUCUGAGCUCACUUUUUAAUUUUUUUUUAAUUAGUAGCCUUUAUUUUUUAGAGUGGUUUUAGAUUUAUAGAAAAAUUGAGCAGAAAGCACAUAAUUCCCAUAUACCCUAUCUUCCUCUGUUUUCCAUUUUCACAUCUUGCAUUAGCGUGGUGUAUUCAUUAGAAUUGAUGAACUAGUUUUAAGACAUUAUUAAUAGCUCACGUUAGGAUUCACCCUGUGCUGUACAGUUCUAUAGGCUUUGACAAACGCAUAAAGUCCUGUAUCCACCAGGAUAAUAUCAGACUAGAUAGUUUCACUGUCCUAAAAAUUUCCUGUGUUCCACUUACUCAUCUCUUCCUCUUCGCCCCCCCUUCCAACCCUGGCAACUACUGAUGCUUUUAUUGCGUCUCUGUUUUAUUUUUUCCAGAAUGUCACCUGGUGGGAAUCACAUAGCAUGUAGCCUAAGUUUUCUCCAUGUCUUUUCGUGGUGAGCACACUUUUGCAUGAGGUAAUUAUGCAUCUUUGGUCAACAUGUUACUCUUGGUGCAAGGUCAGACACUGGCAGAUUAGGAACAGGCUAUGAUAAUGGCAAUUUUUUUUUUUUUUAAGUUUUUCGGUUCUGUUUGGGAGUUUUGGAUUUAUUUUGAUACAUUUUUUUACUUUAAGUAAUUUAUCAAUCUUUUGUGCUUAGUGAUUUUUGUCUCCUGUUUUAGAAAUCUUUGCUUAUCUUGGUGUCAUGAUGAUACCCCGUUUUUUUCUGGAAACUUAGUUGUUUUAGUGUCACCCUUGGCUAUAUAAUUCAUUAAAAAAUGAUUUCUGUGUACUGUCUUAUUCCCUAAGCAAUAUAAAAGGGACAGAAAGUUCCAGGCUCUGGCCUUACCUUGUAUCAGUGGAUAAACAUACCCACUUUUGACUUUGAGGAAAAAAAGCAAACCAAGAAGCAAAUUAGUCUGUAGUUGUUCAAUGUAAUCUCAUGAAGGCUUUCUGAAAGCAGAGGUAAAGUAAACUCAGGAUAAAGUAAAUGAGUCAAAAUCACACAGCUAUUUAGGAUUAAAAUCCAGGACUGUUUGGCUCUACAGUCCAUGGUCUUCCCACAAUUCCACGCUCUUCGUGAAAGGCAAAAGAAAAAAGUGUUUCAAGAAGGAGGCCUACCGUGUUAAAAGGUCAAGUAAGAAGCAGCUCUUGGACUUGAUCACAUAAGAGCUGUUGGUGGCUCUGAUAACAGGGACUCAUGUUAAACUGGGUACCCCAACUCCAGAGGCACUCAACAGUGAGCUGGUUUUAAAAGCCACAGGAUAAAUGUGAUAAUCUUAGCGUCAGUUUUACUCGAUAAUAAGUAAUUUUAAGUAUUUUUUAUAUAUUAAAAUAAAAGCUGUAUUAGGACUACUAUAUAAAAUUUGCAUACAUUUUCAAGAUAUUAUACUGUAUUUCCCCCAAAUUUUAUGCUCAUGGGGUUCUGGGCCACACUGUAUCAGCUUUACCUACAGAGGAGCUGGAGACAGGUCAGCCACGUAAGCAAUCAACUGUCUAUGUAGACUGAACCCUAAUUAAAACUCUGGACACCAAGGCUUGGAUGAGCCUCCUGGGUGGCAAUACGCCAUGCAUACCGUCACAUAUCUUUGCCGCAAGAAGUUAAUACUGUCUACACCUCAAUGGGGUGAAGACAUUGGAAGCCCUGUGUGUGGAAGUCUCCUGGACUCCACCCUAUGUACCUCUUUCCUUGGCUGAUUUUAAUUUGUAUCCUUUUGGUGCAAUAAACCACAACCAAGAGUAAAACAGCUUUCAGUGAGUUUUGUGAGUCCUAGCAAAAACUUGCAAUUGGUAUCAAAAGUGAGGAUGCCUCAGGGAAAUACAAAUCAAAACCACACUGAGAUAAUACCACCUCACACUGGUCACAGUGACUAAAAUUAACAACUCAGGAAACAACAGAUGCUGGCGAGGAUGUGGAGAAACGGGAACCCUCUUGCACUGUUGGUGGGAAUGCAAACUGGUACAGCCACUCUGGAAAACAGUGUGGAGGUCUCUCAAAAAAUUAAAAAUAGAAUUACCCUACAACCCAGCAAUAGCACUACUAGGAAUUUAUCCAAAAGAUACAGGAGUACUGAUUUGUAGGGGCACAUGUACCCCAAUGUUUAUAAGCAGCACUAUCAACAAUAUCCAAAUUAUGCAAAGAGCCCAAAUGUCCAUAAUGCAUAAAGAAGAUGUGGUAUGUAUAUAUAUAAUGGAAUACUACUCGGUGAUGAAAAAGAAUUGAAUCUUGCCAUUUGCAACGACUUGGAUGGAACUGGAGGGUAUUUUCCUAAGUGAAAUAAGUCCCUCAGGGAAAGAUAGAUAGCAUAUGUUUUCACUCAUAUGUGGAAUUUGAGAAAUUUAACAAAAGAAAAAUAAGUUACAAACAGGGAGGCAAACCAUAAGAAACUCUUAAGUACAGAAAACAUACAGGGUUGAUGGCGGGGUGCUGGGGGGUAGGCAGGAAAAAUGGGUGAUGGACAUUGAGGAGGGCACAUGUUGGGAUGAGCACUGGAUAUUGUAUGUGAUGAAUCAUGGGAAUCUGCUCCCAAAGCUAAAACUACACUGUAUACACUGUAUGUUGGCUAACUUGACAAUAAAUUUUCUUUAAAAAAGUGA